UAAGGUACAAUGAUGGUACAGGCAUUGUGUA
rnacentral:piRNA from 1 species